AUGCGCAGUGGGUGGGAAAGGAGACUGGUCCCUGAAGGAAGGGAGAGUGGCUGUUGUGCACCUGCAGUCACGACACUUCCAUCAAUCUCCUUCAAAAGCCACCUUUGGAGCUUUCAGUUUCCUGAAAAAAUCAGAAAAUCCACUUGCUUAUCAGCUCUACGCAGCGUUUUGAAAGUGAUUGCACUGAGACCUCCUCCACACCGCACUGUGAGGAGGUAUUUGACGUCAUCUGCGUGGAAUAUGGUUGCCGAGGUUUGGCUCCGAGCUCCACCUUUCCUGGGUGUCCAUCACUGCCCAAGCACUGUGCAAACUGGAGCUGACAACCUGCCUUGCAGCUUCCAAUAAAAAUAAAUCUUUUUGUAUUAUUUUAAAACUGACUUCA
rnacentral:lncRNA from 1 species